rnacentral:lncRNA from 1 species
ACGGCACAAGGUGUUGGUGAGUGUUUGAAGGUUUGUUUGUAUGGAGGAAUGGAUGUGAAGAUGAAUGGAUGCGUUUGGAUGAAUGUUGUGUUGAAAUGGGAGUGAAUGAUCUAACCAAGUACGAACUCAAUUUAUGUUACACACACUUCUUUUUAUAGAGGAAGUGCAAGGCAAAGCAUGGGUAAAAUGGAGUGGUGUUGAAAUGAUUCAAAGGUGAAAGUGAAGUAAUGAUGCAAAGCAUGGGUAAAAUGGAGUGGUGUUGAAAUGAUUUAAGGGUGUUGAAAUGAUUUAAGGGUGAAAGUGAAGUCAUGAUGCAAAGCAUGGGUAAAAUGAAGUGGUGUUGAAAUGAUUUAAGGGUGAAAGUGAAGUGAUGAUUGAUGCAAGAAUUAAACAUGGAUGGAGUGCACGGCAAAGGUUUGUUAUGGUACAAGGAACCUUUAAUUUGUGUCCUAAAAUACAUAGGAAACCUUCAAUGUUGCUGGAACUUAAGGACAUUUAGGAUUUAGGAAAGAUCAAACCAAAAUAGGAAAUCUUGGCUUAACUUUCCUAUUUCAAGUAGGAAUCCUCAUCUUUAGGUCUUCAAUUUCGUCCAUUCUUUUAGUUCCAAGCAUGUGAUAUUUAUUCCAAGCCCAAAAUUGCUCCAAAAGGCUCCAAAA